UACAGAGGUCCCAAGCGUUGUUCGGAUUCACUGGGCGUAAAGGGUGCGUAGGUGGCCAGGUAAGUUCGGUGUGAAAGCUCGGAGCUUAACUCCGAAAUGGCAUUGAAUACUAUCUGGCUAGAGGGUCGGAGGGGAGACUGGAAUUCUCGGUGUAGCAGUGAAAUGCGUAGAUAUCGAGACGAACACCAGUGGCGAAGGCGAGUCUCUGGACGACUCCUGACACUGAGGCACGAAAGCCAGGGGAGCAAACAGG
rnacentral:rRNA from 1 species